AUACGGAGGGAGCAAGCGUUAUUCGGAAUCACUGGGCGUAAAGGACGCGUAGGCGGGUUUGUAAGUCAGGUGUGAAAUCCUACAGCUCAACUGUAGAACUGCACUUGAAACUACGGACCUAGAGUAUGGAAGGGGCAGAUGGAAUUAGUGGUGUAGGGGUAAAAUCCGUAGAUAUCACUAGGAAUACCGAAAGCGAAGGCGAUCUGCUGGGACAUUACUGACGCUGAGGCGUGAAAGCGUGGGGAGCAAACAGGAUUAGAAACCCUUGUAGUCC
rnacentral:rRNA from 1 species